rnacentral:rRNA from 1 species
AAAGAAACCAACAGGGAUUGCCUCAGUAACGGCGAGUGAAGCGGCAAAAGCUCAAAUUUGAAAUCUGGCUCCGUUAGGUGCCCGAGUUGUAAUUUGGAGAGGAUACUUCGGGUGUGGCCGCGGCGUAAGUCCCUUGGAACAGGGCGUCAGAGAGGGUGAGAAUCCCGUCUUCCGCCGCCGGACCACGCCCAUGCGAAGUUCCUUCGACGAGUCGAGUUGUUUGGGAAUGCAGCUCUAAGUGGGUGGUAAAUUUCAUCUAAAGCUAAAUAUUGGCCGGAGACCGAUAGCGAACAAGUAGAGUGAUCGAAAGGUUAAAAGCACCUUGAAAAGGGAGUUAAAUAGCACGUGAAAUUGUUGAAAGGGAAGCGCUUGCAGCCAGACUCGGUCAUAGGGGCUCAACGGGCAUGCGUGCCCGUGUACUCCCCUGUGUUCGGGCCAGCAUCAGUUCUGGCGGUUGGUUAAAGGCCCUGGGAAUGUAUCGUCCUCCGGGACGUCUUAUAGCCCAGGGUGUAAUGCGGCCAGCCGGGACUGAGGAACGCGCUUCGGCACGGAUGCUGGCAU